rnacentral:rRNA from 1 species
UGGGGAAUAUUGCGCAAUGGGGGGAACCCUGACGCAGCAACGCCGCGUGAAGGAAGAAGGCUUUCGGGUCGUAAACUUUUGUCUGGAGGGACGAAAAGAUGACGGUACCUCCGGAGGAAGCCACGGCUAACUACGUGCCAGCAGCCGCGGUAAUACGUAGGUGGCAAGCGUUGUCCGGAAUUACUGGGUGUAAAGGGCGCGUAGACGGGCAUGUAAGUCAGAUGUGAAAUACCGGGGCUCAACUCCGGGGCUGCAUUUGAAACUGCAAGUCUUGAGUGCAGGAGAGGGAAGCGGAAUUCCUAGUGUAGCGGUGAAAUGCGUAGAUAUUAGGAGGAACACCAGUGGCGAAGGCGGCUUUCUGGACUGUAACUGACGUUGAGGCGCGAAAGCGUGGGUAGCAAACAGG